GGCUGUAAGGAUUAAAAUAUGGGAUCGUAAUUCAUUAGAUUAUGUACUAAUUAUAUUCUUUUUUGAAAAACAUUCUUGUCCAUAAAGCUCUACUAUUUUUUACUUCUGUUUUUGUCAGAUAACAUCAGUCAUUCUUAGCAAAAACAUUUUACGACUUACUAUCUAUUGCUUGAUUUUUAUGUUAACCGGCGAUUCAGAUUUUCUGCCUUGUUUCACUUUCCAUAACUCGUGGGACUGUUUUGUGGAAAGCUACAACAUGCAACGUCCUGACCAUACCCUCAAUUGGAAACGCCGACGUAGUUUUGAUUUUGAUUUUUUAGCUGUAACGGCAGUCGUUAACCAGCAUGUGGUGCUACAGCCUUGACAGUUUGUUUCCCCCCCCCCCCCCGUUUGUUCCCUCCCCCACACUUUGCAAUGUGCAGUCAUCUCUUCUGAAGACCAUUUUCAUAGACACUACAACCAUUCCUUUAAAAAAAAAAUUUUUUUUAAACCAAAUUGUUGCAAAAAUACAAAGGUACUUUAAUUUAUCAAUGUUUUUAUCUGUAAAUUUCCAUCCUCACACCCCCUCCCCAUUUGGUGUUUUUCUUUUUCCGCAGCAAAAGAAAAGAAAAAUGUUUUCCUGUUGAAUUGAGGGGGGGUUAAGCAAUGGCACUCGUGAAUGUUUCCUGUGCGUAUGUUUUAGUUGUAAGUGAACUUUACUACUGACUACAGGUGCUAGAGCGAGAGGUCAGGAGAGUUGGCGUCUUCUUUUUAAUGUCUGAUCUCUCCUGACCUUCCUCACUCUUUGAGCACUGGCUGCCUGUCUUGUCUGAAUGUCUCUCCCCCACAAACACAUUAUUUGUCAACUCUUACCUAUUAUUUAAAUGGCAUUUUAACAACGUCUGCUGCGUCCGUGGGUGUUUGUUGCCAGCACUUUGCGAAACACGACUGACAGCUCUGAGUCAAGACACUUAAAUACCACACUGACUGAAAUUCGUAAUAUAAGUUGACGUUUUAAAAAGUAGUAUUACAGACCUCACAGUUGGCCAUUAAUUGCAUGUAAUACAAAUGUUUGUAUUAUAAUCCAAAAGUGCCUUUCAAAAGUCACCUUUCUCGACUUGUGUGUGAACGAUGGGUGUGUUUUUCGAGGGGAUGUCGAGAGGCGAGUCUUGUUUUCAGUGUGGAAACAUGAAGCUUCUGCUGAACUCUCUCCUACUUGCCUGCCAUUGCACGCUCUCAUCACGGAGUGAUGCGACCGACAUGCGUGUGAACCAGAGUCCUGGCAUUGAUGUCCUCGAGGGCCAGACGGUUAUCAUCAACUGCUGUUGGUCAGGAAAUCACACCAGAAUCAAGGUCAAAUGGUUGAAAAACUCAGCCACUUAUAAGGACUGCUCCCAUCCUCUCCAAUCUUGGCAAAAGGAUGCCGAGAAGUGUGUGAGCUUCGAAUUGGCCAACAUCAGUCGAGAGAACUCUGGCACAUACGUGUGCCAGGUCAGUACGGACAUACCGCUUCUGAAGGUGGCCAGUGGAAAUGGUACAGUCGUUAGAGUAACGGACCAAAGAUCAAAUGGCACAGCUGAAGGAGGUCGUACCAGAAGUCCUCUCUGGGUUCCACUCGGGAUUUCCUUGGCUUCGGUGGCUUUGUUGCUUCUCAUCGGGCUUACCUGCUUCUACAAACUCAAGCAAACAAAAGGUGUGAAGGUGAUCUACGAGAGCCCCCACUUGGACUCGGACGUCGGCGAGACGGCCAAACGCAGCAGCGGCGGCUCGUCGCAGUGGCGCGAGGUGGUCGUGUACGAAUCCGUCGAUUACUUUGAGCCUGCGCAGAUGAAGCAAAAUGGGUGAGGGCGCACGCGCUCAGAAGAUUCGCUCGCCUGUUUGCAUUGCUUCGCCUUUACUGCAUGUAUCAUCUCAAUACUAUACUGACGAAACGCGAAGGAAGUUGUGAAUUGACGACUGUCUCGGGCCGCGAGCUGGCGUUCAUGCCGUGCAGUUUCCGGACCGUGAUGCAGAUUGAAAGUGUGUGUUUGUGUGUCUGUGUGCGUGUGUGUGUGCGUGCGCGCGUCUGUGUGUGUUAUCUGUGGUCAUGAGCGGCAGGUCAGUGACAGGAAGUGGAAACAACAACUGUGACAGUUCAAGUCGUUUCUCGUUGUAACCGUUGGGCUUGUAUUUGUGCAGUUAUACGAUAUCAACACGAAUGAUGGUCAUGCCCACCUACACACCUGAAAUGCAAAAGUCGCUCCUCAAACCGAGCA